GUUAAUGCCUUUUUAGUAGCGCUCCAUUUGGAAAUUUCUAUGAAUUUUGGUAAUGGAGCGCUUAGUGUAUUUGGUUGAGAUUGGUGGGGAAGAGAAGUAACCGGAAUGGGAAAGCUUAAAUGGAGUGCUUUUGUUUAUUAAUGUUAGCGCAUUUGAUUGAUAUUGGUGGGGGGAAAAGUAAUUGGAGUCAGGAUAACUUAAUUCCGGAUUUUGCUUGUUUAUUUUUGCGGAUACUUAUUUUAUGAUUGCACAGACUGUUAUAUAAACUCGAGCAUUUAUGUGGAGUAGAUUACUAAUACUUCUUUUCACUCUAUCGUCAUGCAUGUGAAACAAUACAAGUUAUGCUGACCUGUACUGAUCCUGUGAACUGUGAUUACAUUUGUGAAUGCUGCUUGAGAAAGAGUACUGAUCAGUGCCCGAACCAUUUUUGUUAGAUCCCAUGCUAAAGUUGAGCCGUUUAGUUUGAUUUAGUUUUGUUUGGACUUCAGGCGUUACUGCGAAAGAUAGGCUGUUGGACUGGUGGCUGCUUUGUUUAACUCCACAAUUCCAUGAGUAUUACGAGUCAAUUCCACGAAGUAUCGGAUAUGGGUAUGGCUUGGUUAGUGAAGUAUCGGUGAUUCAUAGGCCACUAUUAAUGGUUAUAAACAGUUACAUAGUUAGGGUGGAACUGGAUUCUUUCUGGAGCUUCGACAAUAUAUUUGACUGUCCUAGCUUGCUGGGACUUUUGUUUCUUUAUAUACUGGGGCUUGGAAAGCUUUUUGAUAAUGCAUCUGUUUUUCAUUUGUUUUUUUGGCUUGCGACUAGGUGGACACUUUUUUUCUUUCUUUUAGUAUUACUGGUACUGUUGACUGUUGAGGCAGUUUUGGCAAGAUGCCUUGUAUCAUAUUUCUGUUACCACAGAAUUGAGUCUCUGUAUCUUUGAUAUUGUUUGCUUUAACUGAUAUUGUUUUCUUUAACCAGACACGCAUUGAUUGGUGAUAUAUCAUUUAGUUCUCAUGUUUUAGAAUGCCCUGGAUCAUUCAUGUUUAGUUCUACGCAAUUAAUGAAAUAGAUCAACCCCAACUUUAAAAUCUGGAAUAUCAUUAUAUUUGCUUCAGAUGUUACCUAAAAUAGAUCAAGCCUAACUUUAAAAUGGAUCAUUCAUGUUUAGUUCUAUGCAAUUAGUGAAAUAGAUGAAGCCUAAUUUUAAAAUCUGGAAUAUCAUUAUAUUUUCUUCAACAUUAUUUGACUGUCCUAGCUUGCUGGGACUUUUGUUUCUUUAUAUAGUGGGCCUUGGAAAGCUUUUUGAUAAUGCAUCUGUUUUCCAUUAGUUUUAUUUUUGGGGCUUACGACUAUGGUAUGGCGAUGCUUGGGAGGUGGAGUGCGCAGGGGAGAAACAAGCAAAAGAGAGGAUUGAGAAGAUGAACGAAUAGGGUAGCGGGAUGCAGGACGAGGACUGCCCUUGUCGCCGGCGGCAAGGUGCGCCAGAGCGACCGAGGAACAGACCCAGUCCGGGACUCUAUUCCUUCUAUGAUUUCCUAGUUACAAUCUAGGCUACCUUUAUAGAUCAGGUGCCACAAACGAGAUCUCUAAUUCCUAAACAAAUCUCCAACAGAUAACUAAAAGAAAGGAAACGACUCCUACUUGCUAACUACUCCUGAUCUUCCGGGAUUGCUUCCGAUGCUGCGUUAUCUUCCUGUUGCCGGAUAGCUGACCUGGGACGCCUCCUGUAGACUCGACCAACAAAAGAGUCUGUAACAGACUAAGUGGACACUGUAUUCCUUAUUUUAGUAUUACUACUGGUACUGUUAGAGUGUUUAGGCAGUUUUGGCAAGAUGCCUUUUAUCAUAUUUCUAUUAUCAGGCCACAGAAUUAAGUCUCUGUAUCUUUGAUGUUGCUUGCUUUAACCAUACAAGCAUUGGUUGGUAAUAUAUCAUUUAGUUCUCAUGUUUUAGAAUGCCCUGGAUCAUUCAUGUUUAGUUCUAUGCAAUUAGUGAAAUUGAUCAAGCCUAACUUUGAAAUCUG